ACCGGCAUGCCUUGGUGGCUGUAUAGCGCGCGGGGGAGGGCAUAUAGGGUUAUAUAGGGGCUGGACGCGCACGUACACACCCUCUGGCGUAUAAUUCCUGGGGGGGGGUAAGAGGGGACAUAUAGGGCUAAGGGAGCGGUAUAGGGUCCUACACACCCACCCAGGGACCAUAUAGCUCCUGGGGGUGCAUAUAGGGGUCUGGCGGCCAUAUAGCGCCCGGUCCUCUUGGGGGACUGUGUGUAUUACCUUGGGGGGGGGGAGUCCCCUAUAGCACCCAGGAGGUCCCUAUAGUGCCUAGAGAUCCCUAUAGCACUGGGGGGGGGGCGGUGUGUCCCUAUAGGGCCUCGGGGGUCUGUGUAGCGCUGGGGGCAGGUCCCUAUAGCACCCGGGGGUGCUGUCCUCGUCCCCACGGCCCCAUGUCCUUGUCCCCCUCCCAAUGUCCAUGUGCCCCUGUCCUUGUCCCCAUGUCCUUGUCCUCCAUCCUCAUGUCCUUGUCCCCCUCCCGGUGUCCAUGUGCCCCUGUCCUUGUCCCCAUGUCCUUGUCCUCCAUCCUCAUGUCCUUGUCCCCCUCCCGGUGUCCAUGUGCCCCUGUCCUUGUCCCCAUGUCCUUGUCCUCCAUCCUCAUGUCCUUGUCCCCCUCCCGGUGUCCAUGUGCCCCUGUCCUUGUCCCCAUGUCCUUGUCCUCCAUCCUCAUGUCCUUGUCCCCCUCCCGGUGUCCAUGUGCCCCUGUCCUUGUCCCCAUGUCCUUGUCCUCCAUCCUCAUGUCCUUGUCCCCCUCCCGGUGUCCAUGUGCCCCUGUCCUUGUCCCCAUGUCCUUGUCCUCCAUCCUCAUGUCCUUGUCCCCCUCCCGGUGUCCAUGUGCCCCUGUCCUUGUCCCCAUGUCCUUGUCCUCCAUCCUCAUGUCCUUGUCCCCCUCCCGGUGUCCAUGUGCCCCUGUCCUUGUCCCCAUGUCCUUGUCCUCCAUCCUCAUGUCCUUGUCCCCCUCCCGGUGUCCAUGUGCCCCUGUCCUUGUCCCCAUGUCCUUGUCCUCCAUCCUCAUGUCCUUGUCCCCCUCCCGGUGUCCAUGUGCCCCUGUCCUUGUCCCCAUGUCCUUGUCCUCCAUCCUCAUGUCCUUGUCCCCCUCCCGGUGUCCAUGUGCCCCUGUCCUUGUCCCCAUGUCCUUGUCCUCCAUCCUCAUGUCCUUGUCCCCCUCCCGGUGUCCAUGUGCCCCUGUCCUUGUCCCCAUGUCCUUGUCCUCCAUCCUCAUGUCCUUGUCCCCCUCCCGGUGUCCAUGUGCCCCUGUCCUUGUCCCCAUGUCCUUGUCCUCCAUCCUCAUGUCCUUGUCCCCCUCCCGGUGUCCAUGUGCCCCUGUCCUUGUCCCCAUGUCCUUGUCCUCCAUCCUCAUGUCCUUGUCCCCCUCCCGGUGUCCAUGUGCCCCUGUCCUUGUCCCCAUGUCCUUGUCCUCCAUCCUCAUGUCCUUGUCCCCCUCCCGGUGUCCAUGUGCCCCUGUCCUUGUCCCCAUGUCCUUGUCCUCCAUCCUCAUGUCCUUGUCCCCCUCCCGGUGUCCAUGUGCCCCUGUCCUUGUCCCCAUGUCCUUGUCCUCCAUCCUCAUGUCCUUGUCCCCCUCCCGGUGUCCAUGUGCCCCUGUCCUUGUCCCCAUGUCCUUGUCCUCCAUCCUCAUGUCCUUGUCCCCCUCCCGGUGUCCAUGUGCCCCUGUCCUUGUCCCCAUGUCCUUGUCCUCCAUCCUCAUGUCCUUGUCCCCCUCCCGGUGUCCAUGUGCCCCUGUCCUUGUCCCCAUGUCCUUGUCCUCCAUCCUCAUGUCCUUGUCCCCCUCCCGGUGUCCAUGUGCCCCUGUCCUUGUCCCCAUGUCCUUGUCCUCCAUCCUCAUGUCCUUGUCCCCCUCCCGGUGUCCAUGUGCCCCUGUCCUUGUCCCCAUGUCCUUGUCCUCCAUCCUCAUGUCCUUGUCCCCCUCCCGGUGUCCAUGUGCCCCUGUCCUUGUCCCCAUGUCCUUGUCCUCCAUCCUCAUGUCCUUGUCCCCCUCCCGGUGUCCAUGUGCCCCUGUCCUUGUCCCCAUGUCCUUGUCCUCCAUCCUCAUGUCCUUGUCCCCCUCCCGGUGUCCAUGUGCCCCUGUCCUUGUCCCCAUGUCCUUGUCCUCCAUCCUCAUGUCCUUGUCCCCCUCCCGGUGUCCAUGUGCCCCUGUCCUUGUCCCCAUGUCCUUGUCCUCCAUCCUCAUGUCCUUGUCCCCCUCCCGGUGUCCAUGUGCCCCUGUCCUUGUCCCCAUGUCCUUGUCCUCCAUCCUCAUGUCCUUGUCCCCCUCCCGGUGUCCAUGUGCCCCUGUCCUUGUCCCCAUGUCCUUGUCCUCCAUCCUCAUGUCCUUGUCCCCCUCCCGGUGUCCAUGUGCCCCUGUCCUUGUCCCCAUGUCCUUGUCCUCCAUCCUCAUGUCCUUGUCCCCCUCCCGGUGUCCAUGUGCCCCUGUCCUUGUCCCCAUGUCCUUGUCCUCCAUCCUCAUGUCCUUGUCCCCCUCCCGGUGUCCAUGUGCCCCUGUCCUUGUCCCCAUGUCCUUGUCCCCAUCCCCAUGUCCUUGUCCCCCACCCAGUGUCCAUGUACCCAUGUCCUUGUCCCCAUGUCCUUGUCCCCCAUCUCCAUGUCCUUGUCCCCCUCCUGGUGUCCAUAUGCCCAUGCCCCUGUCCUUGUCCCCACAUCCAUGUGUCCAUGUCCUUGUCCCCAUCCCCCUGUCCUUGUCCUGGUGUCCAUGUGCCCAUGUCCUUGUCCCCCAACCCCAUGUCCUUGUCCCCAUCCCCAGUGUCAUGUGCCCAUGUCCUUGUCCUGCAUCCCAUGUCCUUGUUUCCAUCCCAGUGUCCUUGUCCCCAUGUCCUUGUCCCCCAUGUGCCCACAUCCUUGUCCCUAUGUCCAUGUGCCCACGUCCUUGUCUCCGUCCCAGUGUCCUUGCCCCCACGUCCUUCUCCCCAUCCCUCUCUCCCCAGAUCCCCCCCUAGGGGACUCACAGGACCCCUGGAUUAUCCAUAGGCCCCCCCUCCCUAAAUACCAGGGUGAGACCCCCCCCUAUACUCCCCAGGCCCCUAAAUACUCCUCUGAGACCCCCUAUAGCUCUCUCGUGUCCUUAAUGCCCUGCUGGGAGCCCUUGCAGCCCCGCAGAGACCCAAAACACCCAUAGGAGACUCCCCUAUAGCGCCCUAGGACACCUAAAUACCUGUAUUAGACCCCCCCAUAGUUCCUGGGCCCCUAAAUACUCCCCUGAGACCCCCUAUAACCCUUCAGACCCCUAAGUACCCCCCAGAGACCUUCUAUAGCCCCCCAGGNNNNNNNNNNNNNNNNNNNNNNNNNNNNNNNNNNNNNNNNNNNNNNNNNNNNNNNNNNNNNNNNNNNNNNNNNNNNNNNNNNNNNNNNNNNNNNNNNNNNNNNNNNNNNNNNNNNNNNNNNNNNNNNNNNNNNNNNCCAGAGACCCUCUAUAGCCCACCCAGGGUCCCCAAGUACCCUUCAGGGCCCCUAGAUACCCCUUGACACCCUCUAUAGCCCCCAAAUACCCUCCAGGACCCCUGAAUACCCCCCUGAGACCCUUUCUGGCCCCCAAAUACCCUCUACGGACCUAAAUACCCCCCUGGACCCCUAAAUACUCCCCCAGAGACCCUCUGUGGCACCUAAAUCCCCCCCCAN
rnacentral:lncRNA from 1 species